AGUGAACGCUGGCGGUAGGCCUAACACAUGCAAGUCGAACGGCAGCACAGUAAGAGCUUGCUCUUACGGGUGGCGAGUGGCGGACGGGUGAGGAAUACAUCGGAAUCUACUUUUUCGUGGGGGAUAACGUAGGGAAACUUACGCUAAUACCGCAUACGACCUACGGGUGAAAGCAGGGGAUCUUCGGACCUUGCGCGAUUGAAUGAGCCGAUGUCGGAUUAGCUAGUUGGCGGGGUAAAGGCCCACCAAGGCGACGAUCCGUAGCUGGUCUGAGAGGAUGAUCAGCCACACUGGAACUGAGACACGGUCCAGACUCCUACGGGAGGCAGCAGUGGGGAAUAUUGGACAAUGGGCGCAAGCCUGAUCCAGCCAUACCGCGUGGGUGAAGAAGGCCUUCGGGGUUGUAAAGCCCUUUUGUUGGGAAAGAAAAGCAGCAGGUUAAUACCCCGCUGUUCUGACGGUACCCAAAGAAUAAGCACCGGCUAACUUCGUG
rnacentral:rRNA from 1 species